GAGGUUGUGGCUCAGUGGUAGAGUGCUUGCCUAGCAUGCAUGAGGCACUGGGUUCAAUCCCCAGCAUCA
rnacentral:tRNA from 1 species